ACUUGUUCUUUAAAUGAGGACUAGUAUGAAUGGCAUCACGAGGGUUACACUGUCUCCUUUUCUUAAUCAGUGAAACUAAUCUCCCCGUGAAGAAGCGGGGGUAAACCUAUAAGACGAGAAGACCCUAUGGAGCUUUAAACUUCUCAACAAUUAUCUCCAUGUUUUUAAACCUCCAGAGCAGUAAAACUAACCUAGAUAAUAUGUCUGUAAGUUUUCGGUUGGGGUGACCGCGGAGCAAAAUACAACCCCCGCAAUGAAUUAGAACCCAAUUUCUAAACAAAGAGUUACAACUCUUAGUAUCAAAAAAUUGACAUAAUUGACCCAACACUUUGAUCAAUGAACCAAGUUACCCUAGGGAUAACAGCGCAAUCCAUCUCAAGAGCUCUUAUCGACAGAUGG
rnacentral:rRNA from 1 species